rnacentral:sRNA from 1 species
UUUCCAGUGGCCAACACAGUGCCCACCCAGAGCCAGCUCAGAGCAGAGUAAACCUCUGUGGAAUGAGUGGGCGAGUGGGGUGCUCAGCCCUCAACACAGACCCCGCAGCCACGGCUCCCCUCCCUGCAGAUCGGGCUCCUGACAACCAUGGCCAUCCUCCUGCAUGAGAUCCCCCAUGAGGUGGGCGACUUUGCCAUCCUGCUCCGGGCCGGCUUUGACCGAUGGAGCGCAGCCAAGCUGCAACUCUCAACAGCGCUGGGGGGCCUACUGGGUGCCGGCUUCGCCAUCUGUACCCAGUCCCCCAAGGGAGUAGGUACGGGCGUGGCGGGUGGUUGUGGCGGGUGGCAUCAGCAGAGGGGCACCAGCCAAAGGGUGUGGCUACCUCACCGCUGGUCCCCAGGCCUGGGAGGUGGGGAGCACACACAGUGCCGUGGGUACCCAGUUGGGUGUUCUCCCGCUGCAGAGGAGACGGCAGCCUGGGUCCUGCCCUUCACCUCUG